rnacentral:lncRNA from 1 species
AUUUUCUUCCAUUCAUUUUCUGUUCUCUCACCUUCCAGAGAAUUCUAAAAGCUCUGCCUUCUCUCUACUUUCUCUCUCUAGAUUUUCUAUGAUUUCUCGGUCUAAUAUGAAUGUUUACAUGGUAUCAGAGCCUCGAAGAUGAUCCGACUAUGUUUCUAUGUACUUCUUUGUCUUGGAUGAAGUCUGUUUCGAGGUUUUGGGGGUGUUUUUUGAGACCUCACGGUCGAUGAAGAUUCCUACCUAUCAGACACCUUUCUGAGUCUUUCAUCGUGAUAUCGGAGUAUAUUUUCUUCUCCUGAACAUUCUGGAAGGUUUUGUGAUGAUUUUUGGUUGAUUUUUGGGUGAUCUAUCGGCUUCUAGGGUUUCUGGUGGUUUAACCUAAAGUUUUACUGCCAUCCGGUGGCUCGAUUCUCACUCAGUGGACGUUUUGGGUUCCUCUCCGACGUUCCUGAUCACAUUUCCAGUAAGGUUUUCCAAGGUUACACCUAGGGUUUGAUACCUAGGGUUUCUCUGUUGUUUGAAGGCCGAUCUUCUCCGGUCGCGAAGAAGGAGGG